AGUGAACGCUGGCGGUAGGCCUAACACAUGCAAGUCGAACGGCAGCACAGUAAGAGCUUGCUCUUACGGGUGGCGAGUGGCGGACGGGUGAGGAAUACAUCGGAAUCUACUUUUUCGUGGGGGAUAACGUAGGGAAACUUACGCUAAUACCGCAUACGACCUGCGGGUGAAAGCAGGGGAUCUUCGGACCUUGCGCGAUUGAAUGAGCCGAUGUCGGAUUAGCUAGUUGGCGGGGUAAAGGCCCACCAAGGCGACGAUCCGUAGCUGGUCUGAGAGGAUGAUCAGCCACACUGGAACUGAGACACGGUCCAGACUCCUACGGGAGGCAGUAGUGGGGAAUAUUGGACAAUGGGCGCAAGCCUGAUCCAGCCAUACCGCGUGGGUGAAGAAGGCCUUCGGGUUGUAAAGCCCUUUUGUUGGGAAAGAAAAGCAGCAGGUUAAUACCCCGCUGUUCUGACGGUACCCAAAGAAUAAGCACCGGCUAACUUCGUG
rnacentral:rRNA from 1 species